rnacentral:tRNA from 1 species
GCCUUCAUUGUAGGCAAUGCGGACUUAAAAUCCGUAGGCCGAAAGGCCGUGCCGGUUCAAGUCCGGCAGCGGGCACCA